rnacentral:rRNA from 1 species
CGGGGUGAGUAAUGUAUGGGGAUCUGCCUGAUGGGGGGGGAUAACUACUGGAAACGGUAGCUAAUACCGCAUAAUGUCUGCGGACCAAAGCGGGGGACCUCCGGGCCUCGCGCCAUCAGAUGAACCCAUAUGGGAUUAGCUUGUAGGUAAGGUAACGGCUUACCUAGGCGACGAUCCCUAGCUGGUCUGAGAGGAUGAUCAGCCACACUGGGACUGAGACACGGCCCAG